rnacentral:lncRNA from 1 species
UUAGUAUUUUUAUACAAUCUCCAAAUUAUCCACAUAACCCUAACAUCUCUUUCUUCCAUUUUUCCCUUUUCAUGUUUGGCAUAGCUGCUGAACUUCUUCUUGUUCUUCCAAUUUGAAGUGAAGAUAAACCUUGAAGUAAGUUUUUUCGAUUAUUUUUUUAUUAGCUUUCUUCCUUUUCUCUCGAUUGAUGCCGAUAAUAUGUUGAAAAAUAAAAAUUUAUAUUCCUCUUAUAAAUAAUUUGUGAUAAUAAAGAAAUAUGCGAAUGAUAGACAAUUAUUAUUACCUAUGGAUGAAACUAAAAUAAAUCUUAAAUCGUUCUUUGAUCUAUUCAAAUUAUAUAUCUUUAAAAUCUAUAAUAACUUUAUAUUCCUCUUAUAAAUAAUUUGUGAUGAGAAAGAAAUAUGUGAAUGAUAGCAAAAUAUAAUUAUUUAUGCUGUAAAAUAUAAAUUAAUUAACUUUUAUUAUGUUAACAGCUUUUAAGGGUAUUUCUGACAUUUUGAUUUAAAAAGUUGUUUAUCAGCACUUAUUUGCCAAACACAUCAACAACUUUUUUUAUAACUUCAACAUCCAAACGCAUAACUGCUUAUUUUAAAAAUAAGUUUUAGCACUUCCAAAAGUACUUUUUUAAAGUUGCUUUUAUUAAGCCCAUCCAAACGGGCCCUAAAUUGUGAUAAAGAACAAAUACCUCCUUAGUAAGUUUUCUAACACGUUCUCAUUGCCUUAAAUGUCUCUAGUUAGUUAAAUUAAUAUUUUUUUAAAAUUAAUUUCUUAAAAAACGUUGUCAACCAGAUAAUAACACAUAAUAUUUUCAGAUUUGCAUUUUCAAUCAAAUUUGGAUCAACGUUACAAUUAUUAUUCAUUCCAAAAUUUCACUAUUAUUUUCAGAUUGCUUUCAACGUAUAAGUCAUUUUUCCUAAAAAUUCAACAAUAUUUUUCAUAGCUGUAUAUUUCACUUUGUAUUUUUUAGUAACUUGAUAAAUUUUGGCGUACAAUAUAUGUUUCCAUUUAAAUUAUAAUAUUUAUUUUCGUAUUAAUUUUGUAUUGAAAAUGUAUUGUGUUUGUUUAAUUGCAGUAUUAUAUAGGACAGUGAAUGAUAUAUUAACUGUGUAUGAAGUGUGUAUAAAUUAUAUGAACGGAUUAUAAAUUUAUGUAAUGUUAAAGUUUGAAUUUUUUUUAAUAGUGUAUGAAGAUAAUUCGAAACGUGUAUCAUUUGUGUAUGAAAGUCCAUUUUUUUUUCAAAAUUACAGUAUAUGUUUCUAAUGAAAUUAUAAUAUAUGUUUUUUAUUAAUUUUGUACAGCGGGUAGACCAAAACUUGAAAGAUGAAAGGGGUUUGCUGACGUGAAAUUCAAAAGGACAAAAAUGACUUGCAGUAGAUGCCGUCAAGUUGGACACAAUAGAAAGACAUGUUCAAAUUAUCAUGUGCAAAAAUAAUGAUUUCGUAAUGUUACAUUUGUUAUUGUGUUGUUUUGAAUAUUAGAAACACGUUUUGUUUUAUUGAGUGCAG